rnacentral:rRNA from 1 species
UUGCUUCUUAUCAAUUCGAGUGGCAAACGGGUGAGUAACGCGUAAGCAACCUGCCCUUCAGAUGGGGACAACAGCUGGAAACGGCUGCUAAUACCGAAUACGUUCUUUUUGUCGCAUGGCAGAGGGAAGAAAGGGAGGCUCUUCGGAGCUUUCGCUGAAGGAGGGGCUUGCGUCUGAUUAGCUAGUUGGAGGGGUAACGGCCCACCAAGGCGACGAUCAGUAGCCGGUCUGAGAGGAUGAACGGCCACAUUGGGACUGAGACACGGCCCAGACUCC